UUUUCAAUUACAUUGUUGCCUGUAUUAUUAGUAAAUUCCUCACGUUUCCUAUGAACCCAUUAACGCGCUGGCGCUCUACUGAUACCUUUGUCAAACGGAUUAUUUAGGCUAGUCACGUUACAUCUACAAAUAUAUGCAAUAACCAGCACACAAUGUAUAUCUGACAGCUGUGGGCCCAAACCACUCAUUUCAAAAUCAAUAACAGCUUUGAAACCAUGGCUCAAAAUGCUUCCGUAACAGCGAUAAUCCAUGCGCCAGAGGGGUCGGUCGGUACCAUCAUGGGGGAAGAGUGUUCAUAGUGAUUGUUGUCAAGGCCUACAACCCUAGGGAUGGAACAUUGUUGAUAAUCUUGCAGGACUCACAACGUUCUGUCUGCAUCUACCCACAUUGUGACACUACCCCCCCAUUUUCACGACAGUUAUAUGUUUACAAAAUUCCUAAAGGGUGGGUAUAUUAAAAGCAAUAUAACAUAUUUGUCAGGGCAUUUGGGAAUACAAAACGUGGAUGAUUGGUAUAUAUUAACAAUAUUAACAUCCUUUGAGGAUUACGGUCUGGUCUAACACUUUUUCCUGUAACAUUGCAAAAUACAAUUCACACAGUUUUAUAUUCAGUAGAAAGUUAAUAGAGGGUAUAGGAUUAGCACCUUAAACACCUUCUGUAAAGGUUCUAAUUACAACAGAAGCUCACAUGGAUAUCCAGUUAUUAUUUACAUGUUAUAAAUAAAGUUUUGUUGCAGGA